rnacentral:misc_RNA from 1 species
GAUGAAGAACGUAGUGAAAUGCGAUACGUAAUGUGAAUUGCAGAGUUCAGUGAAUCAUCGAGUCUUUGAACGCACAUUGCGCCCCCUGGUAUUCCGGGGGGCAUGCCUGUCCGAGCGUCAUUGCUGCCCUCAAGCACGGCUUGUGUGUUGGGCCUCCGCCCCCCGGCUCCCGGGGGGCGGGCCCGAAAGGCAGCGGCGGCACCCCGUCCGGUCCUCGAGCGUAUGGGGCUUCGUCACCCGCUCCGUAGGCCCGGCCGGCGCCCGCCGGCGACCCCCCUCAAUCUUUCCAGGUUGACCUCGGAUCAGGUAGGGAUACCCGCUGAACUUAAGCAUAUCAAUAAGCGGAGGA